GACGAACGCUGGCGGCGUGCUUAACACAUGUAAGUCGAACGGUGAAGCGCCUUCCUUUUUGGUGGGUGAGGAUGAGUGGCGAACGGGUGCGUAACACGUGAGUAACCUGCCCCCUUCUUCUGGAUAACUGCAUGAAAGUGUGGCUAAUACGGGAUAUUCUGGGCCUGUCGCAUGAUGGGUCUGGGAAAGAUCUUGUUUCGGUGGGGGAUGGGCUCGCGGCCUAUCAGCUGGUUGGUGGGGUGAUGGCCUACAAAGGCGGUGACGAGUAGCCGGCCAGAGGGGGUGGAGGGUCAGACUGAGUGUGAGGGACUGCCCAGACUCCUACGGGAGGCAGCAAGCGGGAAUAGUGCACAAUGUGCGCAUGCCUGAUGCAGCGACGCCGCGUCAGGGAUGGACGCCUUCGGGGUGUGAACCUCGUUCGACAAUAAAGCAGGCCUGCCUCGUUUGUGGGUGAAUUGACGGUAGCUGGAGAAGAGGCGCCGGCUAACUACCUG
rnacentral:rRNA from 1 species